GUUAUUGAAUUAGACGAAAUGGGUGUGUGAGCUUCUAAUUAUUUUAUGCAUCUGUUUACAAUUAAGCUUAAUUUUAUGUUUUUAUCAUGCUUUAAUUUAAGCUAAGCAUUGCUUACCUUAUCAUUGAUAUGGGCUGGAAUCUUUGGCUUUAACGUGAAUUUUGUGAUCCAGUUUACAUUGGUGAUUCCUGUGAUAAAACGCAGACGUCUAUAUAGUCUUUUUUCCUUUUUCAGUUGCUAGAAAGGUUAAGAUAGAGAUGUAGUUUUUUCCCUGUUUAACUAGAGCCAAGCAUGGCAUUUGACAUGAUGAUCUUUUUUAUUAAUUCUGUGACAUGUUAUUAAUCUCUAAAUUGAACAGACAUUGGGUACUCUGAGAUUUUUAUUUUUAUUUUUUAUUUU
rnacentral:misc_RNA from 1 species